AGGGAUUGUUUGGUCGGCUUCGGUAAGCAAGGGAUCAUUCAAGUUCAGUAAGGCGAGGGAUCAAAUCGGAUUCCGUAAGGGACGGGCUCUCUCGGGUUUACUAAGUGAAGGGAUGUGUGUAUACGAGAGAAACAUGCAAACCACCCCUGCUUCGAUCGAGCCCGACCAUCCACCGUAUACCGAUAAUCCACGAAAUUUUUCUCGCCCUCACUUCUACAACGAUUUUGACGUCAUGGACGGGCCAAAGAACGUCAUCAAGGUACACAUUCGGCCCAUCGAGGACGAAAAACUCAUUUUCUGUCAUAAUGUUGUGUCAUUGAAGUUAUUAUCCACCACAUC
rnacentral:lncRNA from 1 species